UGGGAAUGCAGCCCAAAGCGGGUGGUA
rnacentral:piRNA from 4 species